GUGGGUUUUAAUGCCAUCCCUACUCCCUCUCUCUCUCUCCUCUCUCUCUCUCUCUCACACACACACACAUAUUAAGAUCAGAAGGAUUUGUCAUACACCAAAUGCCGCCGGCGACGGAGGAACCUAACAAGACGGCGUCCUCGACAAGAUUUAUGAGUUCUCGGCCUCGCACAUCUUCGAUUUCAUCAAGGACGAGACCGAUGAUGACAAGAUCAAGGCCGAGCUAUGGUUUGACUCCGCCACAGCCUACGCCCCUUCCCCCUUCAUGCCUAGAAUCAAGAUUGGUGGCAUCAGUUUUAUUGGGUUUUCAAUCUUAUUAAUUUCAAGAAUCGAAGUGAUAUGGGUUUUACCACGAUCUCAUCUUGAUUGAAGGUGGUAGUGGACCCAAUUCUCUAUGCUCAACGAUAUGGGUAGAUUGAAGGUGGUAGUGGCCUUCAAAUCUGGGUUCUUAUAUAAUAUAUUCUACUAUAAAUGGGUUCUAAAGGAGCUAAUAUUGAAUGUGGAUUUUAAUAUUUUUAAAAGAUUAUGGGACUUUCUAGUUCCUAUGCCUCUUUCCUAAUCAAAUAGAUUAUUUAGUUUCUGCUGAGUUGUUCAAGUUGUUGUCUCGAGUAAGCCAUUCAGGCAGAGUACUUGACUUAUUAUUCAGUCAUGGAAUUUGGCUAGUUUGUAGUUAUACUCUCCUUCAUUAAACUGCCAGUCUAAAAGUUCAGAUCAUUGGUUUGUAAGCAAAACAGAUAGAAUGUUCAUUCCUUGUGAUUGAUUUCGAUGCUUCACUAUCUAGUCCAUCUCAAUUUCUUUUUUUGGUUGAAACAUAUAUGUUAAGGUCCUUUGUUGAUUUUCAGUAGCUUAGAUUAUUUUGAAGGAUGAAACAGCCUAGCCUGGUUCUUGAUUGCUUUUGAAGAAUAUGGUAAUUUCAGAGAACACCAAGAUACCAAUGAUGAUCAAGAUUACCAUUGUGGGUCUUUACCUUCUCAGUUUCCAUUAUUAUAUGUAGGAUAAUCUCCAGUUUGUUUUUUUUUUUCCUCCAUAGAGAUUGAUAAGUGCUGCAUAUGCUAAUAUACUUGGGCUCUUAUUAGCCGCUAGCUUCUCAAACUAUUGUUGUUCUUAGCAGAAUAUGGAUUGCAGUAAACUAAGCUGCCAUCUAUUCUCAAGGUUCAAGUAGGAGCAGUGUUUGUAGUCACAGUAGUAUCAAACUGUCGAAGCUUUAUUUUAAAGGUGCAAACGAGAACAGAAGCCGAGUAUCAAAGCUUCGGGAUUCAAACUGAAGGGUGAGGCUUUUUUUCAUCUUGCAAAUAGACCUGAUAUUAUCAGAGAAGAUUACAUGAAUGAACUUUGCAUCUCCAGGAAGAAGACGGUGAGGAACACAAUGCCAAGCGUCAAAAGACUAAACAUUUAUACAAGUCCAAAUAUUGUUCAUUGUAGUUUUAUUGCUUUCUUUCGAUGCUAUUGUAUCGCCCCAUGUACUCAGUUUCAUUUAAUAAAGAUUGUUGUUCUUCUAUACAA